rnacentral:rRNA from 1 species
CCUACGGGUGGCAGCAGUGAGGAAUAUUGGUCAAUGGACGAGAGUCUGAACCAGCCAAGUAGCGUGAAGGAUGACUGCCCUAUGGGUUGUAAACUUCUUUUAUAAAGGAAUAAAACGCGGCACGUGUGCCUUUUUGCAUGUACUUUAUGAAUAAGGAUCGGCUAACUCCGUGCCAGCAGCCGCGGUAAUACGGAGGAUCCGAGCGUUAUCCGGAUUUAUUGGGUUUAAAGGGAGCGUAGAUGGGUUGUUAAGUCAGUUGUGAAAGUUUGCGGCUCAACCGUAAAAUUGCAAUUGAUACUUGCAGUCUUGAGUACAGUUGAGGUAGACGGAAUUCGUGGUGUAGCGGUGAAAUGCUUAGAUAUCACGAAGAACCCCGAUUGCGAAAGCAGCUUACUAAACUGUGACUGACAUUGAUGCACGAAAGUGUGGGUAGCAAACAGGAUUAGAUACCCCUGUAGUC